GUGCGGAAUUACGAGGUUUUAAUAGAGAUGCGGUUGUAUUGUUUUUGACAAGUCUAAGGAAAAAUCAAAUUUAGUUUCACAUUGUGUAAAGUUAAUGACAUGUUGUAUACCACACAAAACAGAAUGCUUUCCAAAAGAUUUAUCACUAUUCUGUGAGCAUCCGAAAACCUUUUUUGUGAGUUCUCAUUGUAUACGUCUUCAUCGGAUUUAAUGCCUUUUUGUAUCGGUGUAAGCUUUGCCUUCUGGUAAUUCUUCUUCCUGCUUUUAAUUGGUUUAAAUUAGGCCUCUUAUCUACUUAUUAGUAAAACGAAAAAUAUCUGAUUGAGUCUUUUGAACACCGAACAGAAGAAUCCCAAAUUUUAUUUAAAUUGUUUAAUAGUUUUUUUUUUUUUUUUUUCGUUAAAUAAAAUUACUCCAUUGGAGUUAUCUUUUCGAACUUAAAACAAUUAUGAGGACAGAUUAUCGACGAGAUAGAUAAUUUGACGCUUAAAAUGUGUGAUAGGGAGCACCGUAACGUCUUAGAGUUUGUAAUUUAUUCUAGAGUACCUCGAUUAUCGACAGACAGGACGACUGUAAUUUGAAAGUUUAUAUAAGUUUGAAAAUAUUAGAGAAAAUCUGAUGAACUAUAUCACGUGUAGUCAGUGGGUGGUAUAGAGUAAGGUCAGAGUAAAGUGAUUUCUUUGUUCCCUCCUGAAAGAUGAAUAAUCAUUCAUGAGUACAACAAACAUGGAGAAACUGCACUACCCCUCUUCCAUUCUUCUUCCCUUUCUGAACACAUCGUCGGAAUACUAGGGGACUAAGGUUAAUAGCCUCGUGCCUACAAUAUCCCCCUUAGUGUGUAUGUGUGCGCUCUCUCUCUCUCUCUCUCUUUCUCUCUCUCUUUUAAUAACCAUUCUUUUGUCUCAAGAUGGUUUUCAUGUCUGGGAAAGAUGUGCGAAAUUCAUCGUGGCGAAAAAGAAUUCUUUUGUCAAAUAAUUAGGAAUGAGAGAAAGUAGCGUGGUUUUCUGUUAAAUUUACCGAGUCGAAAAAGAGUUGAGUGUAAUUUAUACCAUUAAAUUGUGGAAAAAAAUCGCGCAAGAUCUUUUUAGUGAUGGAAGAGAACAAGCGAUGGUCAUUGUAAAUUCUUUAUUCCAUUCAAACUACUUUUCUGAACUGUUGGAAUUUUGUUAAGUUAGAUCGGAACUUUUCUAUUGUGUUUAGCAAAUUUUAAAAACUGUACUUAUCCAACACAAACAUUCAUUAAUUAGCACAUUUUCGAUAUCAAACCCCAGGCCGAAUUAAAAAUUGAAAUUCGUUAAUAACGUGUAAAGUCGGAGGGGGAAAAAAAACGAAAGUUUUUCCGAUUCUUUUAAGUAUAAUUAAGUAUAUAAGGUAUUAAAAAUAGGUAGACGACUCUGCUUUCAAUCCUUUUAUGGUUGUAAAAGAAGACAAGACACAUUAUGCUGUAUUUCAGUAGAAUUUAUCACCAUGAAUUGUCACGCCUGUGUUAAAACGUGUCAGCUUAUUCACUAGGAGAAAUUUUUAAUGACCUGUGAAAUCGAAUGCAGUGUAAGCGUGAAGUUGGAAGUUGUGCUAUAGUAUAUCUCAUUAGCAAGCUAAGUAUGAUCAAAUGUACUGUAAGUCGCUGCAUAUUACUACUGUAUAUUGGAAGGAAUGCAAACCUCACCCUACUACUACCGUACAUAAAACUCCAGUCCAAACUCGCGAUUUUCGUAUAUGUAGUUUUCUGUAACAAGAUCCCAUACACGAGACGAUAAAAUAGCAUAACCAUAGGCCUGAGUAUCAAAUUUCCUUAACUUUGUGCGUCUUCAAUGUGUAUGCGGUUUAUUUGUUUUAUUUAACAUUUAAUCUUAAUUUAAUUUAUUAAUUUAUUUGCCAAGAUUAAUCUGUGGCGAUAAUUUUAUUCCUUUUACAGGAUAAGAUACAAAAUAAAACCGAUUUUAUACUUCGGAUAUUAAUGUAUAAUCGUUCUAAAUAGCAGCAUAAUCAAAUCAUAAAAAUUUCAGGGGGCCUUCGUUUAGUUUAGCCAUUAGUCGAACUAUUAAACGAAUUUUUUUUCGGAAUAUUUAUAAGGUUAAUUGUAAGGUUGGUAGGCCUACGUAGCGAGGCGAUUUUUGACGUGUUCGAUUCGAGAUAUUAAAACCGAUUUGGUUCCUUCCUGUUUCGUCCAUUAAAAUUAUCAUCUCGAUACAAUUAUGAGAUGUCGCCUUCUUUAAAAUUUCCAGCAUUUAAUAGACAUCUUGGCCCGGUCGAUACAAGUCAAAUAGCUAUUGGAAAGAGCAAAGACCGGGAGGACUACCUGGCGUGGCCUCUGUUGAGUCGUGGCCGGGUCUCAUCUUCUUUUGAGUUGGGUCUCCACACGUGAGUCGAUUAUUAAUAAUCCCCACCAAUCAUAAAGAAUGCCAUCUUAAUAUUCGUAUAAAUAACUUUUAAUAGCGAGUUAAGUUGGAGAAAUUAAUCUCUUUGCUAAAAAAAGAGACUUGGAAGAGUGUUUAUUAACUCGGCCUGAAUGAACAAAAGUUAGUGAGAGAGAGUGUCGGUCCAUUGCACGUGCCACUUUGGAUCCCGCAAUGUAUGAUGGGACGAUAUGACGUCAGUUAACUGUCCCGUCGGGAUAUGAUGCUAUAAUAGUUUAGCUGGAACAGUGUUUGCCCAUACAAUAGCAGACAUGGGGUUGGCAAGCGAUCGACUGCGCUCCAGUCGGAGGCGGUCACUAAGCAUGGCACAUUGUAACGAGGUUUAUAGACUUACCUGUUUUUGUCUGUCAACACGUUGUAUGGAUGCUAAAAUGCACUUUAAACAGUAAAGAAUAGUAGUUAUUUUGGUAUCAUUUUACCCACAAAAGACAGGUUAGACAUUCUUUUGAACUUAGAAACCUUUCCAUGUCGAAUUUUCGGGGGAUUAUCAUCUUCGUCGACUUCUAAAUAACUUAUCUUGGUUUAUAUAAUUUAUAUCACUCUUAUCGAUAUAAAUUUUCUUUAUUAUUGC
rnacentral:lncRNA from 1 species